AUACGUAGGGGGCGAGCGUUGUCCGGAAUGAUUGGGCGUAAAGGGCGCGUAGGCGGCCCGGUAAGUCUGGAGUGAAAGUCCUGCUUUUAAGGUGGGAAUUGCUUUGGAUACUGUCGGGCUUGAGUGCAGGAGAGGUAAGUGGAAUUCCAGUGUAGCGGGGAAAUGCGUAGAGAUUGGGAGGAACACCAGUGGCGAAGGCGACUUACUGGACUGUAACUGACGCUGAGGCGCGAAAGUGUGGGGAGCAAACAGGAUUAGAUACCCUGGUAGUCCACACUGUAAACGAUGAAUGCUAGGUGUAGGGGGUAUCGACCCCUUCUGUGCCGCAGUUAACACAAUAAGCAUUCCGCCUGGGGAGUACGGCCGCAAGGUUGAAACUCAAAGGAAUUGACGGGG
rnacentral:rRNA from 1 species